AGUGAACGCUGGCGGUAGGCCUAACACAUGCAAGUCGAACGGCAGCACAGUAAGAGCUUGCUCUUACGGGUGGCGAGUGGCGGACGGGUGAGGAAAACAUCGGAAUCUAUUUUUUCGUGGGGGAUAACGUAGGGAAACUUACGCUAAUACCGCAUACGACCUACGGGUGAAAGCAGGGGAUCUUCGGACCUUGCGCGAUUGAAUGAGCGGAUGUCGGAUUAGCUAGUUGGCGGGGUAAAGGCCCACCAAGGCGACGAUCCGUAGCUGGUCUGAGAGGAUGAUCAGCCACACUGGAACUGAGACACGGUCCAGACUCCUACGGGAGGCAGCAGUGGGGAAUAUUGGACAAUGGGCGCAAGCCUGAUCCAGCCAUACCGCGUGGGUGAAGAAGGCCUUCGGGUUGUAAAGCCCUUUUGUUGGGAAAGAAAAGCAGCAGGUUAAUACCCCGCUGUUCUGACGGUACCCAAAGAAUAAGCACCGGCUAACUUCGUG
rnacentral:rRNA from 1 species